rnacentral:rRNA from 1 species
UGCAAGUCGAACGCGUUGGCCCAAUUGAUUGAUGGUGCUUGCAUCUGAUUGAUUUUGGUCGCCAACGAGUGGCGGACGGGUGAGUAACACGUAGGUAACCUGCCCAGAAGCGGGGGACAACAUUUGGAAACAGAUGCUAAUACCGCAUAACAGCGUUGUUCGCAUGAACAACGCUUAAAAGAUGGCUUCUCGCUAUCACUUCUGGAUGGACCUGCGGUGCAUUAGCUUGUUGGUGGGGUAACGGCCUACCAAGGCGAUGAUGCAUAGCCGAGUUGAGAGACUGAUCGGCCACAAUGGGACUGAGACACGGCCCAUACUCCUACGGGAGGCAGCAGUAGGGAAUCUUCCACAAUGGGCGCAAGCCUGAUGGAGCAACACCGCGUGAGUGAAGAAGGGUUUCGGCUCGUAAAGCUCUGUUGUUAAAGAAGAACACGUAUGAGAGUAACUGUUCAUACGUUGACGGUAUUUAACCAGAAAGUCACGGCUAACUACGUGCCAGCAGCCGCGGUAAUACGUAGGUGGCAAGCGUUAUCCGGAUUUAUUGGGCGUAAAGAGAGUGCAGGCGGUUUUCUAAGUCUGAUGUGAAAGCCUUCGGCUUAACCGGAGAAGUGCAUCGGAAACUGGAUAACUUGAGUGCAGAAGAGGGUAGUGGAACUCCAUGUGUAGCGGUGGAAUGCGUAGAUAUAUGGAAGAACACCAGUGGCGAAGGCGGCUACCUGGUCUGCAACUGACGCUGAGACUCGAAAGCAUGGGUAGCGAACAGGAUUAGAUACCCUGGUAGUCCAUGCCGUAAACGAUGAGUGCUAGGUGUUGGAGGGUUUCCGCCCUUCAGUGCCGGAGCUAACGCAUUAAGCACUCCGCCUGGGGAGUACGACCGCAAGGUUGAAACUCAAAGGAAUUGACGGGGGCCCGCACAAGCGGUGGAGCAUGUGGUUUAAUUCGAAGCUACGCGAAGAACCUUACCAGGUCUUGACAUCUUGCGCCAACCCUAGAGAUAGGGCGUUUCCUUCGGGAACGCAAUGACAGGUGGUGCAUGGUCGUCGUCAGCUCGUGUCGUGAGAUGUUGGGUUAAGUCCCGCAACGAGCGCAACCCUUGUUACUAGUUGCCAGCAUUAAGUUGGGCACUCUAGUGAGACUGCCGGUGACAAACCGGAGGAAGGUGGGGACGACGUCAGAUCAUCAUGCCCCUUAUGACCUGGGCUACACACGUGCUACAAUGGACGGUACAACGAGUCGCGAACUCGCGAGGGCAAGCAAAUCUCUUAAAACCGUUCUCAGUUCGGACUGCAGGCUGCAACUCGCCUGCACGAAGUCGGAAUCGCUAGUAAUCGCGGAUCAGCAUGCCGCGGUGAAUACGUUCCCGGGCCUUGUACACACCGCCCGUCACACCAUGAGAGUUUGUAACACCCAAAGUCGGUGGGGUAACCUUUUAGGAGCCAGCC